CAGUAGCCGCGGGAAUACGAAGGGUGCAAGCGUUGUUCGGAAUUAUUGGGCGUAAAGGGUGCGUAGGCGGUUUGACAAGUCUCAUGUGAAAUCUUCGGGCUCAACCCGAAGUCUGCAUGGGAAACUGUCGGGCUUGAGUAUGGGAGAGGUGAGUGGAAUUUCCGGUGUAGCGGUGAAAUGCGUAGAUAUCGGAAGGAACACCUGUGGCGAAAGCGGCUCACUGGACCAUAACUGACGCUGAUGCACGAAAGCUAGGGGAGCAAACAGGAUUAGAUACCCCAGUAGUCCCUGUCUCUUAUAC
rnacentral:rRNA from 1 species